rnacentral:rRNA from 1 species
UGGGGAAUUUUGCACAAUGGGGGAAACCCUGAUGCAGCGACGCCGCGUGAUUUAGACGGCCUUCGGGUUGUAAAAAUCUUUUCUAUGGGAAGAAAAUGACAGUACCAUAGGAAUAAGGACCGGCUAAUUACGUGCCAGCAGCCGCGGUAAUACGUAAGGUCCGAGCGUUGUCCGGAAUCAUUGGGCGUAAAGGGUACGUAGGCGGGUAAGCAAGUUAGAAGUGAAAUCCUAUAGCUCAACUAUAGUAAGCUUUUAAAACUGCUCAUCUUGAGGUAUGGAAGGGAAAGUGGAAUUCCUAGUGUAGCGGUGAAAUGCGCAGAUAUUAGGAGGAAUACCGGUGGCGAAGGCGACUUUCUGGCCAUAACCUGACGCUGGGGUACGAAAGCGUGGGUAGCAAACAGG